UACAGAGGUCUCGAGCGUUGUUCGGAUUCAUUGGGCGUAAAGGGUGCGUAGGUGGCGUGGUAAGUCUGGUGUGAAAUCCCGGGGCUCAACCCCGGAACUGCACUGGAUACUGCCAUGCUUGAGUACUGGAGAGGAGAUUGGAAUUUACGGUGUAGCAGUGAAAUGCGUAGAUAUCGUAAGGAAGACCAGUGGCGAAGGCGGCUCUUUGGUCUGUAACUGACGCUGAGGCGCGAAAGCGUGGGGAGCAAACAGG
rnacentral:rRNA from 1 species